AACGAACGCUGGCGGCAUGCCUAACACAUGCAAGUCGAACGAAGGCUUCGGCCUUAGUGGCGCACGGGUGCGUAACGCGUGGGAAUCUGCCCUUAGGUUCGGAAUAACAGUUAGAAAUGACUGCUAAUACCGGAUGAUGACGUAAGUCCAAAGAUUUAUCGCCUGAGGAUGAGCCCGCGUAAGAUUAGCUAGUUGGUGUGGUAAAGGCGCACCAAGGCGACGAUCCUUAGCUGGUCUGAGAGGAUGAUCAGCCACACUGGGACUGAGACACGGCCCAGACUCUUACGGGAGGAAGCAGGGGGGAAUAUUGGACGAUGGGCGCAAGCCUGAGCCAGCAAUGCCGCGUGAGUGAUGAAGGCCUUAGGGUUGUAAAGCUCUGUUAACCGUGAUGAUAAUGACAGUAGCGGGAGAAUAAGCCCCGGCUAACUCCGUG
rnacentral:rRNA from 1 species